GUAGGAGCAUGGGGGUGAUACGACAGACAUAACCCAUGUGGAAUGGCAGGCAAGAAGGAGACAGAACAUUUAGGAAAUUAGGGAAAGAAAACGUCAUGGCACUAAAGUAACAAAGUUUUAUGGAUACUAAGCUCUGUUUCUUGAUUUCUGCAGAAGACAUAGAACUUGGUUAAAAAAAAUAAAACUCAGCAUCACUGGUUUAGAUUUUAAUGGAUUUGUGUGUGUUUCAAAACAUCCAGCAAUAACCAUGGUACCCAUUCAUCACACUGCCCAUAUUUUCUUUUAGCCUCUUUCUCUCUUUGUCUUAAUACCCUUUUCAGACGUUACUACCUCCUCUUUCUAGCGCUUGUGACUUUUUAAAUGACCUAAUCUAAGGGUAAUUUCAUUGAUAUCUGGAAAAAGCAGCAUUGUACGAUGGCUUGGCAUUAGUGAUGUCCCGAAUGGUUCGCCACGGACGGCGAACAUAUGCGCUGUUCGGUCCGUCCCCUAUGUCAUCAUUGAGUAAACUUUGACCCUGUACCUC